UUAACUAAAAUUUUCAUUAUUUAACUUACAUUAUGCCAUGCGUAUUUCUUACGAUGAACAUAACUAGUUCAUUCAUUCACCUCUUUGUUUCAUAUUUUCCUCAGAAUGAACUUCCAAUAAAUUAAUAAAAUUAUAUCUGUCCAAUUGCAGACAAUAGCAGGCGUUAUUUUUCUUCUCAUAUGAUUUUCAAUCGAAUUGCCUUGAUAACAUGACUUCAACAACUGUUUCAAUUUGUUUGCGGGGCACUAUCAAUUAUGACUAUAUUCGGUAAUUUCCGCUAAAGAAACCCGAAGUUUACCGAAUCAUCUCAUCAACAUCAAACAUUUUCAUCAUCAAACAUCGUCAUCACCAUCACCGAUCAUCACCUUCAUCAACAAAAAACGUAUAAUGUUGUGAGCACUUCAUAUAAUGUCGUGGACACUUCAUUUAAUGUUGUGACCACUGCAUAUAAUGUUUGAAUCACAGCGUAUAAUGUUGUGAGCACGUCAUAUAAUGUUGUGAGCACUGCAUAUAAUGCUGAUCAUUAACAUAAGGAAGCCAUGGCGGUCCAUAAAUACGUGUAGUAUUCGAACUGUGAUAUGUAUUUAAAAAAGAAAUAAACACUUUCGUAUAUACAUUAGUUUGACUUUUUAUUUAAAAUAGUAACACAUCUUGUAAGCCUUCUGUUAAAACUACAGUAGAUAAAUAGACCCCUUUUAGAAGAUAAUUGUAUUACUGAAGGCAAAACUGGACUUUCUUAUCGCUCUACCAAUUAAUAGAAUUAUCCCCAAUGCUCUUCAACUUUGUACUUGUUUGGCUUUAUAAAUAUUUUGAUAUGAGCGUCACUGAUGAGUCUUAUGUAGACAAAACGUGCGUCUGUCGUACCAAAAUUAUAAUCCUGGUACCUUUGAUAACUAAAGGCAACAUAUUAUAUUCCGUUUUUUUGUUUUUUUUUUUAUUUCUGAUUGCAUAAUUAAACUUUUAUUUGUAAGAAAAGAAGUUUAGAUAUAGUAUAAAUAUUCAAAUCUUUCCAAAACCACUUAAUUGAUAUAUUAAUCUUAAAAGUCAUUACUGUUAUUUUGAAAAGCAAUAGUAUAACAUCGCAUACCAAUGAUACUUUAUUUAAAAAAGAAAUACAGUUUAAAGGAAGCAUACACAUAAUAAAAAAUAAUUUUGUACGCACUCAUAAUCAUGAUAAUACGAAUUUUUACAAAAUAUUAUUGAGUAAUACAACAUAAUAUUAAAAAGGUGACAUGACAUACAUAAUGCAUAAUACAAUAUACAAAAUACGAACGGAGAAAGAUAUUAUAUGUUACUCAUGUCUCAGACAGGGAAGAUACUGUGACAUUCCCGGUUUAGAGUUUAUAUCCCCCGAGACGAAGGCGAAGGGGAUAUAAGCCUUAAGCCGGAAAUGACACAGUAUAUACCCUGUCUGAGACCUGAAUUACACAUAUAUGACGGAUUAUCCCUGACCUGUUAUUUUCCAGUGUAGGUAUUUGUUGAACAUUCACAAUGCAACAUAUUCAUUACAUGUUUAUUGUGUUUUUUAAUAUUUUGAGUAAUCCAUUUAUAUGCACCUUUUAUAUCUUGUUAAAUUUUUUCCCCAUUAAAAAUACUUUCAA
rnacentral:lncRNA from 1 species